rnacentral:rRNA from 1 species
UAGGGAAUCUUCGGCAAUGGGGGGAACCCUGACCGAGCAACGCCGCGUGAGUGAAGAAGGUUUUCGGAUCGUAAAGCUCUGUUGUUAAGGAAGAACGAGUGUGAGAAUGGAAAGUUCAUACUGUGACGGUACUUAACCAGAAAGGGACGGCUAACUACGUGCCAGCAGCCGCGGUAAUACGUAGGUCCCGAGCGUUGUCCGGAUUUAUUGGGCGUAAAGCGAGCGCAGGCGGUUAGAUAAGUCUGAAGUUAAAGGCAGUGGCUCAACCAUUGUAGGCUUUGGAAACUGUUUAACUUGAGUGCAGAAAGGGAGAGUGAAAUUCCAUGUGUAGCGGUGAAAUGCGUAGAUAUAUGGAGGAACACCGGUGGCGAAAGCGGCUCUCUGGUCUGUAACUGACGCUGAGGUUCGAAAGCGUGGGUAGCAAACAGG